CUUUCCUCCCCCGCGCACCCCUCUCGCUCGCUGUCCCGACUGAGUCGAGCCACCAUGCCGCGGCACAAGGCCGGCCGCUGGCGACGAGCGCCACCGCACCACGAUGCGCGAGCCUGCCCUUUCCCCCCUCCAUUCCUUUUACAGAGAGAGAGGGACUCUCGCGGCCACCUCUGCUCUCCUUGUCUCGCUCCCGACUGCGCCGUUGCUUUUGACGCCGGUCGCCGGCAGCCGGAGACGGGGUUGAGCUCCGCCUUUCCCUGGCGAGCUCUUCUCCAUUCCCCCUUUCCUCCCUUCAAUCUACUACUUCUCCUUGUGCAGCAACAGAGAGAGAUGAUGCGGGUUUCGAUGCAGUGCCUUGGCCAUCCCCUUCGCCGGCUGCGCAUCCGCCUUGCGGUGAGCGCGCCGCCGUCGAGCGGUUUGGCUGCGGUGCCUACUUUGAGCUUUUCCUUUGCCCCGUGAGGGGUGGUACCUUCGUCCGACGCCUCGGCUUGCCGAUGCGCAUCGAGAUCGAGAGGGUCAGCGCGGCCUUACGGCGGCACUCUUUGCCGGCGAGGCCUGAGGCCCUCUCCGGUGGUCUUUGCCCUGUUCUAGGGUUCUUUUGGGGAGAGAUCAGAGUAGCGACCAAGUUGGUAGCCCAGCCACCGCUUGGGCACCGGCGGCAUCCAGCGGUCAUGGAGCACCGGCGGCUUGGGCUCUAGGGCCACACGCCGGUGUCGAGCACCCUGCUGCCACCCCGACGACCACGCCGCGACCGCCCGCGUCCCGCACGGGCACACCCAGCGGUGCUCCUGAAGAUUGUUGCACUCUGGAUGAAUUUUUGGAUCAGGUGGAGGGAGGGCGCAUUCGUGCAUCUCGGCCAACUCGCCGCUGACGUUCCAGAUGGACCUGCCGGCGACCUUGAUCGAUGUUAAGGAGCUCCGCGCCCUCCACCUCGUCGUCGAUAUGACGCUGCUUUUCUUUCGCAAAAAAAAAGGAUAUGACGCUGCUUUUGAGUACUGUACGUCCAAGGCAGGCAUGCAGUUUGUCACGUGUAUACAUACCGUAACUAGGUUGGACACCGAACAAUAAUGACUUGUUCCACGUCGUCUUCUUUUUUGAGCUGUCC